CACCAGACACGGGAUGUGGACUGUGUCCUCACAACAGGUGCGGUCACGCCGUGUGGCCCUGAGCCCUCAAGCCUCCUGGUCUGCUUCCUGAGCCCUGGGCACAGGUGGCGACUGCCCGGGAUCCUGCCUGCGGGGGCCCUGGCUGGAGUGUGGGGGCUCGCGUGCGUGCACGUACCUUCGUCUCUCCCCUUGGAGCCAGGUGGGCCCAUUUGCAGCUGGCCUGUCUUGGGGACCUGCAGCCAGGUGGCGCUCAGUAAUACCUCCUUGUUGGCUCUGAAAUGAGUCUUUGGAGGUGGGCAGAGAUUCUCGAAUGCAGCCUCUUCAGCUCCCAUGAGUCACCCCAUUCCUGAGUCGAGCAGCCCCACAGUCUCCCAAAUGUGAGGCAGAAAAGCAAACUGUGGCCGGGCAUGGUGGCUCACGCCUGUAAUCCCAGCACUUUGGGAGGCAGAGGUGGGUGGAUCACGAGGUCAGGAGUUCAAGACCAGCCUGGCCGAGAUGAUGAAACCCCAUGUCUACUAAAAAUACGAAAAUUAGCCGGGAGUAGUGGUGGUGCUCCUGUAAUCCCAGCUACUCGGGAGGCUGAGGCAGGAGAGUCACUUGAUCCCGGGGGGCAGAGGUCGUAGUGAGCCGAGAUCGUACCAUUGCACUCCAGCCUGGGCGGCAGAGUGAGACUCCGUCUCAAAAAAAAAAAGAAAAGCAGAUUGCCUAAGAGGAUGGACAGAUGGACACUGGGUGAGCAGAGUGGCCUGGCCGCUGGCACACCUCCCUGGGCAGGACCAGGCAGCCUCCAGAGGGGCUUCAGGAGUGACCGGGCCUGGCCUCCCCACCACAGGCUAGGGUGGACAUUUGGGGCCUUCUGGGGCCAAAGUGCAGACUGCUGGGGAUGCAGGUGGCUUGGAUGUUCUCUGACUUUGUUGCUGGGAGCUCCGCUAAAGAGUGUCUGCGCUGUGGCUUCUUUGCAGGAGAAGUUUUCAGGUUGCUGGAGGAAGAGGGCGUCUCCCUCCCCGACCUGGAACCAGCCCCUCUGGACAGCCUGUACGUAUGUCUGCCACCAAGAACUGUUAUUUUAGCUUCUAACGCUGCCUCUGAGGAUAGCAUCCCCCUGCUCUGGGCUUGCCUCCCCGCAGCCCAUCUUGGCGUCCACAGAAGUGGCUGAAUAGCCAGGCGCAGUAGCUCACGCCUGUCACCCCAGCACUUUGGGAGGCCAAGGUGGGCAGAUCACCUGAGGUCAGGAGUUCAAGACCAGCUCGGCCAACAUGGUGAAACCUCAUCUCUACUAAAAAUGCAAAAUUUAGCCAGGCAUGGUGGUAAUCCAUGCCAGGCCCUGUAAUCCCAGCUACUUGGGAGGUUGAGGCAUGAGAAUUGCUUGAACCCAGGAGGCGGAGCUUGCAGUGAGCCGAGAUCACGCCACUGCACUCCAGCCUGGGCGACAGAGCAAGACUCCGUCUCAAAAAAAAAAAAAAGAAGUGGCUGGGCUCCUGUGAUGGCUGGUGACACAGGAGCUGUUCCUCUGUGUCUGUGACUUGUCUCCCACUUGGAAAUGCAAACGCUCAUGUGUGAGGGACAGAGGCCCUGCUCGGGAGGUUGGCAGGCAGCAGCCCCAGCUGUGCUGAGGCCCCUCCCUCCUUGCCAGGUGCAGCGGUGCCUCUGCAGAGGAGCCCAGCAGCCAUCGGGGAGGGGGCUCGGGGGGCUACCUGGAGCACGUGUUCCGGCACGCGGCCCGAGAGCUCUUUGGAAUCCAUGUGGCUGAGGUUACCUACAAACCCCUGAGGAACAAAGACUUCCAGGAGGUGACACUGGAGAAGGAGGGCCAGGUGCUGCUGCACUUCGCAAUGGCGUACGGCUUCCGCAACAUCCAGAACCUGGUGCAGAGGCUCAAACGAGGGCGCUGCCCCUACCACUAUGUGGAGGUCAUGGCCUGCCCCUCAGGCUGCCUGAACGGCGGGGGCCAGCUCCAGGCCCCAGACAGGCCCAGCAGAGAGCUCCUCCAGCACGUGGAGAGACUGUACGGCAUGGUCCGGGCUGAGGCGCCCGAGGACGCGCCUGGGGUUCGGGAGCUGUACACACACUGGCUGCAGGGCACGGACUCGGAGUGUGCAGGUCGCUUGCUGCAUACGCAGUACCACGCCGUGGAGAAGGCCAGCACUGGCCUGGGCAUCCGGUGGUAGGGGCUGCAGGACCAGGACUCCCAGGAGGCCGUGUCCAUGUGUGACAGCAGAACCACAUGCCCCAAGACCCCAGGGCUCCCCCCAAAAUUCUGAGUGAGCUGCAGGGUGUGCUGGGACCCGAGUAGGAGCUAGGACUGGCCAGGACCCGCAGCCGCCUCGUCACCUCCAGUUGGGUGCCUCUGGGUUCCCACUGGCUCUGCCCAGGUGGGGUGGGGUGGCCCAGGCAGCAGAAGGUUCCCUGAGGUCCCAGAGCCUGUUCCGUUGGCCCUGGGCCGAGGCCCACAGGUGCUGCCCUUGCUGUUGCUGGUCGGGCACCCAAGUGCGUGAGGGGCUUCAGCCUGUCCCGGGGUUGCCUGAGGCAGAGCAAGACGGGUUCUCACCCCUGACUUCUGGAGGCUUCCCUUGAAGCUCUGUGCAAAAGGUGGGAGACAGACCUGGACCUGCAGGGGUGGUCCCGCCACAACCCUGCGUGUGGACCCUGGCAGGAGGAGGUGCCAGGCCCCUGGAAAGCAGGGGUUACCGUUACGAGGCUGUGGUCCGGGGCAAGCCAAGUACAAAGCAGCAGCCAUCGCUGGCUGCAUCAUCCCCCAGCCAGGUCCCCACCAGGCCUGUCUCCCAGCGUUUGUCUAAUAAAUGCACCCCUCCUAAAAC
rnacentral:sRNA from 1 species